rnacentral:rRNA from 1 species
UGCCAGCAGCCGCGGUAAUACGAAGGGUGCUAGCGUUGUUCGGAAUUAUUGGGCGUAAAGGGCGCGUAGGCGGUCUUAUCGGUCAGAUGUGAAAGCCCAGGGCUCAACCCCGGAACUGCCUCCGAUACUGGCAGCCUAGAGAUCUGGAGAGGUGAGUGGAAUGUCGAGUGUAGAGGUGAAAUUCGUAGAUAUUCGACGGAACACCCGUGGCGAAGGCGGCUCACUGGCCAGAUACUGACGCUGAGGUGCGAAAGCGUGGGGAGCAAACAGGAUUAGAUA